GUCCGCUCCUCCCUACCCUCCGGCCAGAUUCUCCGCUCCCGGCCUCUACCGCCCGCUCGAAACGCCACCCCCAUGGCUAGGGUUUCGGGCAGGGCUUCGCCGGCGCGUCUCCGGCGGCCCAGAUGCAGAUGGAGCACGCCAUGGGAAUUCCCCAUCCACCAUGGUCGCCGCCAUCAAGGGCUUCUUCACGGAGAUGUGGAGGACGCCAUGGACCUGCAGCUCCAAGGUCAACAGGGAGGAACCCUAGCCAUAAGCACCUCCUCGGAUGACGCCUCUGCUACACCAAGAUAGAGAUAUAUAUGAUAUCUACAUGGCUGCUAUGCUACUUUUUUUGUGUGAUGAAUCAUUGUGAGUUUCGAAGAAACUUCCAAUGUUACCUCCGCCAAGUUUGCCGGCAGAAGAAGCACAUCCAUUGAGCCGUUCAAUGUCGCCUGCGGUGGCUACACCAGAGGGUAACCAUGGUAGCAUCUUGAGCCCAAGAACAGUGUUACUGCCAUUUAACGCCGCGAUGUUUUAGCUCCAGGAAUUUGGACCCUCC